rnacentral:rRNA from 1 species
CACGUAGGAGGCGAGCGUUAUCCGGAAUUAUUGGGCGUAAAGAGCUCGUAGGCGGUUUGUCGCGUCUGCUGUGAAAACCUAAGGCUCAACCUUGGGCUUGCAGUGGGUACGGGCAGACUAGAGUGCGGUAGGGGUGACUGGAAUUCCUGGUGUAGCGGUGGAAUGCGCAGAUAUCAGGAGGAACACCGAUGGCGAAGGCAGGUCGCUGGGCCGCAACUGACGCUGAGGAGCGAAAGCAUGGGGAGCGAACAGG